GCUGUUUAUCUGUUCCUAGAGAUGCUAGAAGUCUGGAGAAUUUUUUCCUUGAAAAAUCUUUCAAAUAUCACAUGAUGAGUUCCUGUAUGAUGAGAGUUUAAAAUCCUACCACAGCCAUAUAUACAUGCUUAUUAGACUUUGAGCCACAUAUUUACUUUUUACUGCUUAUGAGCAUUGAGUGUGGUCAAGCUGUGUAGACCCUUAGGAGCUUGUCAUGUGGUUAAAAUCAAGAUUCACUUGCACGUUCACUCGUAUAUGCUACUUCUACUCCGAAAGUACGCAUCCACAUACAUCCACUCAUUUCCAUCUCCAGAUUCACCAAAAAUUAUUCUACUCCUAAUCCGGGAGAGAAUAGCCAAAAACAUUAUCCUAUCCCUAUUAUUCCCUGUGGAAUAAAUGCUCGAGUUAUCUUGGUUACUACCACUUAUUGCUAUAUUAUUUCAGGAAAUGAGUGCUCUCUAGUAAAAAAGAGAGGAUACGAGGAAAUAAAAAGGGGCAAGUACCCGGAACCUCGAACAAAAAAAAAAGAGUGAGACGAGAGGUAAAAAUGGACAAGUGUCCAACAGUAGAAUUAGGGGUACAAGAUACCCACCUUAGAGGAAAGGAAAAAAAGAAAAUAUAGAGCAACUCAUUCUCCCCAAAAAGCUUCAAAGUGCAAGAAAGGUAUGUAUCCCUUCAAAAGAGCAAAAGUAGAAUUAGACUUCCACCAUUGUUAUCACCAUUAUCACCAUACACCAUUCACUCGCCACACAUGCACAUCUUGAUUUGACUUAUUGACUUGUUCUUCUGGAUCCAUGGUUUGACUAUGCAAUAAAUGUCUUAUAAGUAUGUAUUAUCUGUCUCCCACCUAUGAGCUCUAGAUAUCAAAACCUUAUUAGAGUAGGGUGAGAGAGAAGGCAAUAUCACUAUGCCUAAUACCAAAAAUACCACAUACUUUGAGAGAAGGCAUAUACCAUUACUGCCUUGGAAAGGAUCCAGAAAUACCACAAAAGAGAGAUUUGAGAGAGUCAUACAAGGAAUCUCUGAGUUUUAUUUGAAAAUCUGCAAAAACUCCAGAACUAUAGCUGAUCAAGAAUAAGAGACAUGGCACUUGACUUGACCGUUCUAUCUUUUAACUGCUCAAGACACAAGUGAUGGUUACAAGCCCCA
rnacentral:lncRNA from 1 species